GCUCAAAUAUUUCCUGUCAUGAAACUGACUUUUCAACCCAAAAGUAAACAUGGUUAUACUAACAUGAUUUGUGCAAUCUUUGGAAUUAUGUUGCUAUGUUAAUUGACGAGACUGCAGACACAAUCUGAAUCAAUUCAACUUGAACCCAUUACGGACAUAUUUGGCGGAACCAUGGAUGACAGGGUAUUAUGUCUUGACGGCGGAGGUAUUCGAGGAAUCAUUAUUCUUGAGAUCUUAGAGGCGAUCGAGAAGGAAGCAGGCAAGCCCAUCAAAGACUUGUUUGACUGGAUUGGCGGAACAAGCACCGGAGGGAUAAUUGCUCUGGGUAUUGCUACAGCCCAUCUCCGAAAUUAAAACACUAUACAAGGAAAUGAAGGAAACAGUUUUCAAGGGCUCAAGACCGUACAAGUCUGCAACAAUAGAAGACCUGUUGAAAAGGGAAUUUGGAAACAGUGUAAUGACGGAUAUUUAGCAUCCUAAGGUCCUGGUUACAAGCGUAUUAGGGGACCAUACUCCGUGGAAACUUCAUCUGUUGCGUUCCUACGAGAUUAACCAAGAACAAAAGGAUACCAGAUUUGAAUCAAUCAAGCCUCCAAAUGAGACGUACAUCUGGGAGGUUGCCCGAAGCACGCCUGCAGCGCCCACCUACUUUCAUCCAUACAAACAGUUUUUUGAUGGAGGCAUAAUGUCCAACAACCCUACCCUGGGCAUUCUCACAGAAAUUAACGAAUAUAACAUUGGACGAAGGGAAAUGGAUAAAAAGCCUGAAAAUAAAGCCCGAUUUGGUACGGUUGUUUCUAUCGGAUGUGGUUAUGUGGAAUACGCCAAACAAUCAGUUCCAGACCCACGUAUGCCAAGCUUGUGGGCUUUUAUUCAUCAAAGAAUGCGCGCUGAUUCAAACAUGUUUUUUGCUGACCUCCUCAAACAGGUAGCAAUAUCACACCAUGUACCAUCGUAUCGUGCCAGAGCAUGGUGCCAUAUGAUGGGCGUGAUGUUCUACCGAUUUUCCCCGAAAUUGGAACAAAAUGUGGAUUUGGACUGCGUAGAUGAAAGGCUGAUCAAAGAGAUGCUUCUGGACACGAAGUCUUAUAUUAAAACCCCGAAAUACGAGGAGAGGAUUAAGACGCUUGCUGGUAACUUAAAGGGCACAACAGCCAUAGAGAGGCCAAACACAAGGAGUCAAGACAGAAAGAGGCGAAGGCUUGCUGGUUUCAUAAAGUGCACAACCGUCAUAGAGAGGCCAAACACAGGGAUUCAAGACAGAAAGAGGCGGAGGCUUGCUGGUUACUUAAAGUGCACAACAGCCAUAGAGAGACCAAACACAAGGAGUCAGGACAGAAAGACACCAAUGCGCAUUCGAAUUCAUUCACAGCAGCCAUAAAAAUAUGACAAAUGUAAUAAAAUAACAUGAAUUACUCUUCAAAUGAUGUUAUUUAACGAUAUUUUAGCUAACGAGCGAUUACUCGAAAUAAAACAAUAUUUGUCAUGAAAUUAAACAUUUCCUAACCGAUAAAACGGUGAAAUAUAGAAUCACGUUUGGCGAGUCAUAAGGAUAUUUUAAAGACGUAAUAUUUUACGUGUGCACCUUUUAAACAUCGCCUAAGUAAGAAUAACCAGAGUGGUGGUUAUGUUUUAUAUUUUUAUACAAUGGACUUUUCAUUUGAUUUGACAAAUAUGGAACAUCCAUUGAAGCUGCAUUGUGAAGAUGUGCAAGGCCGGAGUAUAUACAAUCUUCAAUAUGCUUCGAUAAUAUACAUGCUUUAUACAACCUAUCAAGCUAUAUGAUCGACAGAUGCCAGUGUCUACUUCAGUGUGGGUAUAGAUCGGUACGUAAACAGGGGUAUGUGAACGACAAAGAUGAUUUAUCAAACGUUUCUACUGAGUUCAAUCGGUCAAUUGCUACCCUUGAAGGAAAGACCGGGUCUGUAUUUACGAACCCAUUCUUUAACCAAAGAAAAAACUCAGACACAAUAAAUACUUAUGAUUGAUUUAUUAAGAAUAAUCAAUGUUAAACGUUGAUUAAAAGAGGGAAUGGUGCAAAUAGAUUUCAGGUGUUUACGCUCAGAUUUACAAGAUAAGCUCAUAUGGACAAGAGCAUUUGCAUCAUUACAGAUUUAACAAUAGUCUUCAACUUCUUUUUUUUCUUGUAAGAUGUAUUAUAGUUCUUGAUUUGUGUAGAAAUCGUCCGGUCCAACGAAUUGGUAUUGGAGACCAAAGUCUAUAUACGUACACCAUGGCGUCUUCUUAAACAAUGGAAAUUAACUUGACGCUCAAAAAAAACAAACAAAAAUGGUAAGCAAAACAUUAGCAUAGCUUUUACGAGAGUAAACGAAAACGGACGGUCGAAAAUAUGAAUACAAGGCCAGCGCAAUUUCUGAUAGUGUAAUAUUACCCUUAAUCACUUUUACGCAUUUAAUUUUAAACCAUUCUUCAAUUUGCUUAGAUAUUUAACCCCAUGGUAUUCUUAAUAUGACUAUAAGUAUUGAGUUCCAUACAGCGAAUGCAAGCGCUUAAUUGUUUUAAAUGCUGAUUUUUUCUUUAUUUGAGAUGUUUAAAUGUUUGUAUGUACGUUUGUGACUUAGUUUUACAACUCCCCAUGCAUCGCAGGUAUGAUCAAUACAUUCAUACAUGAUUGCUUGAAUUACUCUACUCUUGUAAAACCAUACUAAUCUUACAUUAAUUCUUUGGUUAAGUGUUUGUAUAUAUUGUAUGGUUAAUCUGUGCUUAAUACUGGUUUGUUGAAUAAUCAAUUACUGUUAUAAGUUUAAAAUUAUUAUAAUUUGAUUUAAUUGUAUGUGAAAUUCACGUGGUAAGUCCAUUAACUGAUUACAUGUAUGGACAUUAUUAGCCUGUUUGUUUUGCAGCUUUACUGAUAUGUUUGGUAAGUUAACAUUUACUUGAGUCAAGCCGGCAUUGUUUUGAGUAAAGUAUGAAUAAUAAUUGAUUUACGCUGAGUCCAGUUUGCAUUCUUUUAGUUUAGGUUAGGAUUUUUUUUUAGUCAAGUAAGCAUUUACUAAAAUAAUGCGAAGCAGGUCGCAGUGGUGUAGUGGAUAUGGUGUCCGCCUAACGAUUGGGAGGCUAAGGGUUUUACGGGUUAAGGGUUAAGAGUUUUGAAUGUUAAGUGCCAGAAACCAAACAGUCGGCAAAUAUAAUUUAAUUUCGAGCGGUAUGGUAGAGCAAUUGCUAUAUGAAAAUACUACAAAACACAUAAAUGACUUUACAAAAAGUAAAAAAACAUCAAAACAUGUAUUACGUUUGAUAUAACCUUUUCCCUAAUAAAACUAUCGGAAGUCAAUUUAAUCCUACAUCAUGUCCACAUUACUCAAACUCGUGUCAACUUGACCAAUCAUCCUGCACAAUUUACCAGAUAUAAUACAAACUUGACAAAUAUCGUAUCUUUUCAUGUUUGCAGGAAUCAUAUAUUUUGACGUAAGAUAUACCAGAAUUUUUUAUUUUCAUUUGAGUACUUUCAAUGUGGAAUAAAAGCUAA